rnacentral:rRNA from 1 species
CCUACGGGGCGCAGCAGUGGGGAAUAUUGCACAAUGGGGGAAACCCUGAUGCAGCGACGCCGCGUGAGUGAAGAAGUAUUUCGGUAUGUAAAGCUCUGUCAGCAGGGAAGAAAAUGACGGUACGUGACCAAGAAGCCCCGGCUAACUACGUGCCAGCAGCCGCGGUAAUACGUAGGGGGCAAGCGUUAUCCGGAUUUACUGGGUGUAAAGGGAGCGUAGGCGGCAGGGCAAGUCUGGAGUGAAAGGCGGGGGCUCAACCCCCAGACUGCUCUGGAAACUGGCAGGCUGGAGUGCAGGAGAGGUAAGUGGAAUGCCUAGUGUAGCGGUGAAAUGCGUAGAUAUUAGGAGGAACACCAGUGGCGAAGGCAGCUUACUAGACUGUAACUGACGUUGAGGCUCGAAAGCGUGGGGAGCAAACAGGAUUAGAUACCCCUGUAGUC